UUUACUUCUCUAGUUGUAGGACUUCCAUUCAGCCAGCUUUCCAGCAGUUCUGGAUGAUGGUUGUCCUAUAUUUUAGUUGUACU
rfam:Myotis lucifugus cont2.2919, whole genome shotgun sequence.